UCGACGGGCGAUCAACAAGGCCCGUGGCCUGGGUCAAUGGCCCACAUUGCACUUGGUGGGUGCGUUGGCCCAUCAUCUCCCCAAGUGGGAGAGUGAACGUCGUAAUUUGUGGCAGAGGGGGUACGCGUUCGCGCGGCCCCUGC
rnacentral:snRNA from 16 species